rnacentral:rRNA from 1 species
AAGCGGUGGAGCACGUGGUUUAAUUCGAUGCAAACCGAAGAACUUACCUGGGUUUGACAUGUGCGUGUUACUGAGGUGAAAGCCGAGGGACCAUAUCUUCGGAUGUGGAGCGUACACAGGUGCUGCAUGGCUGUCGUCAGCUCGUGUCGUGAGAUGUUGGGUUAAGUCCGCUAACGAGCGCAACCCUCGCUGUGUGUUAUAUGUGUCACACGGGACUGCCGGUCUUAAGCCGGAGGAAGGUGGGGAUGAUGUCAAGUCAGCAUGGCCUUUAUAUCCUGGGCUACACACACGCUACAAUGGCCAACACAAUAGGUUGCUAAGCCGCGAGGUGGCGCCAAUCCAUAAAGUUGGUCUCAGUUCAGAUUGUAGGCUGCAACCCGCCUGCAUGAAGAUGGAGUUGCUAGUAACCGCAGGUCAGCUAUACUGCGGUGAAUACGUUCCCGGGGCUU